UACGAAGGGGGCUAGCGUUGUUCGGAAUUACUGGGCGUAAAGCGCGUGUAGGCGGGUCUUUAAGUCUGGGGGGAAAUGCCAAGGCUCAACCUUGGAACUGCGUCGGAUACUGGAUGGCUUGAAUUCGGGAGAGGGAUGCAGAAUUCCAGGUGUAGCGGUGAAAUGCGUAGAUAUCUGGAGGAAUACCGGUGGCGAAGGCGGCAUCCUGGACCGACAUUGACGCUGAAAACCGAAAGCUAGGGGAGCAAACGGG
rnacentral:rRNA from 1 species